UUAGUUUUUUUGGGUUCCAUUGUAACCACUCAAAGAUGUGCGGUCUUGUUUAUGAGAAUUUGAAAACCACUCAAAGAUAUGCAGUCUUUUAACCACUCAAAGAUAUGCAGUGAUAGUGAAUUAAGUGGUUUUCAUCUACGAUCUUUACAUGCUAAUUUUUCCUCUGGUUUUAUGGGUUGGUUUUUAAACCACACAAAAGAUAUGUGGUUUUGUUUAAGCGGUUUUGAGUUGGGAACAUAUUCGGUGGUUCUGUAUUAAGUGGUUUUUUCCUAUGCUCAUGUGCUACAUAGGUAAUGUGUUUUUCAACAUUUUUUUUUGUGAAAACCAAAAAAAUGUAAUUGUGUAUUUUUAGGUAAAUUUGUUUGGUUUUGUAAAUUGUUGUUUCAGUGUAAAAAAUAUGUUUAAGUGAAUACGGUUUUUGAUUUUUGUAAACGUGUUAUCAUUUUAAUUAGUUUUUUUGGGUUCCGUUGUAACCACUCAAAGAUAUGCAGUAUUGUUUAUGGGAAUUUGAAUUGUGAACAUAUGCCAACUAUGAUCUUGUUUAAGUGGUUUUCAUUCAUGAUCUUUACAUGCUAAAUUUUCCGCUGGUUUUAUGGAUUGGUUUUUAAACCACACAAAAGGUAUGUGGUUUUGUUUACGAGGUGUUAAUUAUGUACAUGUCUUGACUAUGUUCAAUGGUAUUAUCUUAAGUGAUUUUCAUUAUUGUUACUGUGCUAAGUAGGUUAUGUGGGUGCUGGCUUUGUGAAACCGAAAAAAAAAGUUGUAGGUGGUUCUGAAUUACAUAUCUCUAAAAAAGACGCGGUGGAUAAGACGGGGAGAUAUCACAAACUUGAUCUCCCGUAUGACGAAGAAGUGGUUUUAAUGAAUGAUGCUCUGCAAUAGAAGAGUGACAAUGUCGACUGCGGGGUCGUUGUGUGCUACAUUGUGAGGCAAUAUUUUGAAAAUAAAAUUAUUACAAAAGCACAAGGCGUGAA